AGGCGNUGCUAUACUGCAAGUCGAGCGGACAGAUGGGAGCUUGCUCCCUGAUGUUAGCGGCGGACGGGUGAGUAACACGUGGGUAACCUGCCUGUAAGACUGGGAUAACUCCGGGAAACCGGGGCUAAUACCGGAUGGUUGUUUGAACCGCAUGGUUCAGACAUAAAAGGUGGCUUCGGCUACCACUUACAGAUGGACCCGCGGCGCAUUAGCUAGUUGGUGAGGUAACGGCUCACCAAGGCGACGAUGCGUAGCCGACCUGAGAGGGUGAUCGGCCACACUGGGACUGAGACACGGCCCAGACUCCUACGGGAGGCAGCAGUAGGGAAUCUUCCGCAAUGGACGAAAGUCUGACGGAGCAACGCCGCGUGAGUGAUGAAGGUUUUCGGAUCGUAAAGCUCUGUUGUUAGGGAAGAACAAGUGCCGUUCAAAUAGGGCGGCACCUUGACGGUACCUAACCAGAAAGCCACGGCUAACUACGUGCCAGCAGCCGCGGUAAUACGUAGGUGGCAAGCGUUGUCCGGAAUUAUUGGGCGUAAAGGGCUCGCAGGCGGUUUCUUAAGUCUGAUGUGAAAGCCCCCGGCUCAACCGGGGAGGGUCAUUGGAAACUGGGGAACUUGAGUGCAGAAGAGGAGAGUGGAAUUCCACGUGUAGCGGUGAAAUGCGUAGAGAUGUGGAGGAACACCAGUGGCGAAGGCGACUCUCUGGUCUGUAACUGACGCUGAGGAGCGAAAGCGUGGGGAGCGAACAGGAUUAGAUACCCUGGUAGUCCACGCCGUAAACGAUGAGUGCUAAGUGUUAGGGGGUUUCCGCCCCUUAGUGCUGCAGCUAACGCAUUAAGCACUCCGCCUGGGGAGUACGGUCGCAAGACUGAAACUCAAAGGAAUUGACGGGGGCCCGCACAAGCGGUGGAGCAUGUGGUUUAAUUCGAAGCAACGCGAAGAACCUUACCAGGUCUUGACAUCCUCUGACAAUCCUAGAGAUAGGACGUCCCCUUCGGGGGCAGAGUGACAGGUGGUGCAUGGUUGUCGUCAGCUCGUGUCGUGAGAUGUUGGGUUAAGUCCCGCACCAGCGCAACCCUUGGAUCUUAGUUGCCAGCAUUCAGUUGGGCACUCUAAGGUGACUGCCGGUGACAACCGGGAGGAAGGUGGGGAUGACGUCAAAUCAUCAUGCCCCUUAUGACCUGGGCUAC
rnacentral:rRNA from 1 species